rnacentral:rRNA from 1 species
UACGAAGGGGGCUAGCGUUGCUCGGAAUCACUGGGCGUAAAGGGUGCGUAGGCGGGUCUUUAAGUCAGGGGUGAAAUCCUGGAGCUCAACUCCAGAACUGCCUUUGAUACUGAGGAUCUUGAGUUCGGGAGAGGUGAGUGGAACUGCGAGUGUAGAGGUGAAAUUCGUAGAUAUUGGGAAGAACACCAGUGGCGAAGGCGGCUCACUGGCCCGUUACCGACGCUCAGGCGCGACAGCGUGGGGAGCAAACAGG